GACGAACGCUGGCUACAUGCUUAACACAUGCAAGUCGAGGGACCGGCGCACGGGUGAGUAACACGUAUCCAACCUGCCCCUUACUCGGGGAUAGCCUUUCGAAAGACAGAUCCAUACACUCUAUAACGGAUGGUGAUGCGUUCCAUUAGGUUGUUGGUGAGGUAACGGCUCGCCAAGCCUUCGAUGGAUAGGGGCACGGAGCGGAAGGUCACUCACAUUGGAACGUAGCCACGGUCCAAACUCGUACGGGAGGCAGCAGUGAGGAAUAUUGGUCAAAGGGCGAUAGCCUGAAGCAGCCAAGUAGCGAGAAGGAUGAAGGCUUAUGGGUCGUAAACUUCUUUUAUAUAAGAAAGUGUAUUAUAUCAAUAAGGCUCGGCUAACUACGGGCCAGCAGCCGCGGUAAUAC
rnacentral:rRNA from 1 species